CCUGGCGACAAUAGCGAGCGGGAACCACCUGAAUCCAUCUCGAACUCAGAAGUGAAACGGCUCAGCGCCGAUGAUAGUGUGGGUCUACCAUGCGAAAGUAGGUCAUCGCCAGGC
rnacentral:rRNA from 1 species